GUGAACCUGCGGAAGGAUCAUUAGUGAUUGCCUUUAUAGGCUUAUAACUAUAUCCACUUACACCUGUGAACUGUUCUACUACUUGACGCAAGUCGAGUAUUUUUACAAACAAUGUGUAAUGAACGUCGUUUUAUUAUAACAAAAUAAAACUUUCAACAACGGAUCUCUUGGCUCUCGCAUCGAUGAAGAACGCAGCGAAUUGCGAUAAGUAAUGUGAAUUGCAGAAUUCAGUGAAUCAUCGAAUCUUUGAACGCAGCUUGCGCUCUCUGGUAUUCCGGAGAGCAUGCCUGUUUCAGUGUCAUGAAAUCUCAACCACUAGGGUUUCCUAAUGGAUUGGAUUUGGGCGUCUGCGAUUUCUGAUCGCUCGCCUUAAAAGAGUUAGCAAGUUUGACAUUAAUGUCUGGUGUAAUAAGUUUCACUGGGUCCAUUGUGUUGAAGCGUGCUUCUAAUCGUCCGCAAGG
rnacentral:rRNA from 1 species